UCCUUUCGUUGGUCAACGUAAGUUGCCAUCUUGGAUGACGUCAUCAUCCUUACAGACGUAUUUACCAGUCGCAAAAUAUCACGAUUUGAGCCGCUACUUUGCGCUUGUAUUCCAACAAAGGCAACGGUGCACGGUGUGAUCCGCAGCAGUUUCAUAGAGUUACAUAUAAUUCGAAACUUCGCGAAGGCAAAAUACAAGGCCCCGUAACGUGUAUAUAUUCACAACAAACACAUUCUGCUCGCAUCCAUUUACCUAGACUUGUUUUCCAGCCGUUUUGGAUAAAAUAGCGGAAUUUUGACUAAGAAAAAACGGAAAUGGAACACAGGAAAAAGCGGAAAUUGAAAUCGGUCUUAAAAAUGAAAAUAGCGGAUUUCCGCUAAAUAGCGGAGAUUUCACAGGCCUGCUCACUGCAAUCCAUUCCACCCACUACCUUACUCAUGACAUGUACAUCUACAUGUAUUAUCAUUGGUAUAUGGUCUGUUUCUGACCAGGGUACAGUACCAUUUUCAUUUCACCAAAAUCAA